AACGUAGGGGACGAGCGUUGUCCGGAUUUAUUGGGCGUAAAGAGCGUGUAGGCGGCCAGGUAGGUCUGCUGUGAAAACUCGAGGCUCAACCUCGAGACGUCGGCGGAAACCAUCUGGCUAGAGUCCGGAAGAGGAGAAUGGAAUUCCUGGUGUAGCGGUGAAAUGCGCAGAUAUCAGGAAGAACACCCGUGGCUAAGGCGGUUCUCUAGUACGGUACUGACGCUGAGACGCGAAAGCGUGGGGAGCGAACAGG
rnacentral:rRNA from 1 species